rnacentral:rRNA from 1 species
UACGAAGGGGGCUAGCGUUGUUCGGAAUUACUGGGCGUAAAGGGCGCGUAGGCGGUUGCUCAAGUCAGGCGUGAAAGCCCCCGGGCUCAACCUGGGAAUUGCGCUUGAGACUGGGCGGCUUGAGUUCGGGAGAGGUGAGUGGAAUUCCCAGUGUAGAGGUGAAAUUCGUAGAUAUUCGGAAGAACACCAGUGGCGAAGGCGGCUCACUGGCCCGGUACUGACGCUGAGGUGCGAAAGCGUGGGGAGCAAACAGG